GGUUUCUUGGCGCAGUUGGUUAGCGCGUCUCCUUAACAAUUCUGAUCCUCAGAUCGUUAGGGCUUACGGAGGAGGUCGCCGGUUCGAACCCGGCAGAAAUCA
rnacentral:tRNA from 1 species